rnacentral:lncRNA from 1 species
AGAAAAUCUUCCAUAGAUUUGAUUUCUAAUGGUCAUAAUGGUAAAAUAUAAUCCCUUUUGGGUAUAACCAUGGCAACAAUCUGCAUUUCUUAGAUACAAAAUAUAGCAAAAAAGGGGGUUGAACAUGUCACAAAAGUCUCCAAAAUUUGGUCUAAAGAAAAAUUUCAAUCAAUUACAGUGAUACCUUUCCUGAAUCCAUAGGUUUAUAUAUAUCAAGUGGUCCAAAAAAAAAAUCAUAUGCAUUUCUGCUCGUUUUUCCAUAAAAUUGAAUUUGAAAUGCUUAAACCUAUUGAGGAUGUUGACCUAUCUAGCUUUUCUC